CCCUUCACAGCCGAGUCGACUUCCGGGGGCGGCUCCCCGCGGCCGGAGGCGGGGCUGCGCAUGCGCACAAGGCACGGCGGGGGGGGGGGAGGGGGGUUCAUUCCCAAGGUGCUGUGCGGUGAGCUCCCGCGAGACUCCACGUGGCCGUAGUCGACGCCACGGAGGGGACGCAUGGAAGUGACGGUGUCUGUCGCGGGAGGUCCCCGCAGGGUUGUGGGGCGAUGGGUCAGCUUCUCCCCGCGUGCGGCCCCGCUCCGGGCCAGGCCCCGCUCGCUCCGGGAGACCCUCCGGCCGGCCGGCCGGCCAGGCGCCGCCCGCCGGGAUCCUCCCGAACUCCUGAUGAGCGGGUAGGGUCCCGAUUGCUUGGCAGGGUGAUGGGGAGUGAGAAAACGGUGCCGGGGGCCUUCCUAGGGCACCGCUGCCCCGUGGGAGGGGGCAUGAGUUGUCUGGUAGAGAAUAACUAACACUGACCUAAUCAACGUGAGAGCCGUCUCCACCAACGCCUCCCAAGAGUGCGGUAUGGUUUUGCCCCGGCCUUCUCCCCCGGCGCUCGCUCCUCUGCCCGUACGUAACCCUCCGGCUUCUGCCCCGCCGGCGCUUCGGAGAUUUCUGAGCUUCUUAGGGGACAUGUUUUGGGCCUUCACUUAAGGUACGGGCCGUCUGCAGCAGCAUUGGAACAUCUGUUGAGAUUUCCGCCCGGUAUUCGUUUCCGUGAUGGUAGUCGUGCUUCCUUUCCCGUGUGUGGGUUUCCUUCACGGAUCAGACCCUUCUCCGGUGUUCCUGUCCUCUGCGUUCCUUCAACUGUUAACUUCAGCCAUCGCCUAAAUGCUUCAAUUCCUUGAGGACACAGCUCCCUCCCGAGCACCAGGCCACCUGCUUCGCGGACACGGCCCCUUGCAAGCCCUGCAGUGAUCUCAGACUCCACACCUUCCACCACAAGGUUGCACCUUCCUCCUGUGCUCCUGACCUCACCGAACGAUAACGUUCACCCAGCUGUCAGGCCCCAAACCUAGGGGUCCUGCUUCAGUUCGUCCUCUUCGCGUUCCUAAGAGGUUAUUAAGUCAUUUAUCUUCUCCGCAUCGCAUCCCUAAAUUACCGCAGCUGCCCCAUUGCACUGCAGUCCAUCUGUAUUUACCACCGGGGCCAUCUUUUCAAACCAGAGGCAUGUAUGGGCCCCUUGGCACACUGUUCCAGAAGUCAUUGUUUGGCACCCUUUGGUUUCUGCCAGCUUGUGAAUGUCAGUCUUCCGUCCAUCCAAAGCUGACAUGGGGAACAGUUGCGCACGGUGACUUCUCCCAGGGAUCACUGCAACCAUCUGGCCUUGGGGGAUGAGUUCAAGCUGAUGAAUCUUCUUCACGUCACCAACACGAAUAAUUUCUACACAAAUAAAUGAAUAAAAUCGGAAGGCCAGACAGAACUGACAGAAAACACUCCAUCCCUGAAAGAAAAGCAGGACGCUGAAAGUGAAUAGACUCUCCUGAAAGUGAGUAAGACGAUAUAUAAACAUAAUCAUCAAUUGUAAUUUCAUCGAUUUUCUAUAUUCUUUUCUGUAGUAACAGAGUAAUCAGAAUAUUGUAUCAGCAGGGCUUGGCCAGCAGCAUAUCAUUAAAAAACCCAAGUAAACUGCAGGCUGACCCCAGUUCAGGCAGUCCUCAUGGACUAGAAUGGGAGUGCCUGACUGAUUCCAAAGCCACAGCCUAGAAUAAGGGCCACGUGUCCUCGGAGCAGCUAUCAUCUAUCAUGUGAUAGAUUUUUUAAAUGUUACUAAGGUACACUUGACAUAGAAUAAACGGCACAUAUUUAAAACGGACGUAUUAGAAAAGUUUUGAUCUACGUAUACACCCGUGAAACCAUCACAAUGGACAUAAUGAACGUGUCCAUCACCCAAAAAUGUUUCCUGGGACUGCUUUGUAAUCAAUCCCUCCCCUUCCCCCAAGUAACCACAUUAGAUGAGUUUGAAUUUCCUAGCAUUUUGUAUAAAUGGAAAUAUACGAUAUGUAUUUUUUUCUGUCUGGUUGCUUUUUCUCAGCAUCACUAUCUUGAGAUUCAUUCGUGUUGUUGCAUAGAUAAAUGCAUUUCUUUUCAUUGGUGAAUAAUAUUCCAUUGUGUGGAUAUGCCACAGCGUAUCCAUUCACCCAGUAAUGGAUGAAUUUGGGUUGUUUCAAGUUGGGGCUAUUUUACCUAAAGCUGCUAUGCAUGUGUAUGUAUAUCUUUAAUGGAUGUAUGAUUUCCGUUGGGGAAACGCCUGGCAACAAAGAAACUGGAAGAUACAGUAAGUGUGCAUUUAAUUUCCAAGGAACUGCCAAACUCUUUUCCGAAGUGGUUACUCGAUUUACAAAGCAGCUUAUGAACGUUCCACGUCCUCACAUCCUCCCAACACUGGAAAUGGGAAUUUUAGCCUUUCUUGUGGCUGUGUAGUGGUAUCUCAUGGUUGUUUCAUUUGGAUUUCCCUAUCUAUUAAUGGUGUUGAGCAUCUGUUCGCGUGCUUACUUGCCAUACGCAUAUCUUCCUUGUUGAAGGACCUUCUCCGAUCUUUUGCCCAUCUUUUGAAAAUGGAGCUGUUUGUUCUCUUCUUAUUGGGUUUUAAGAAUUCUUUCUGCAUUUUGGAUUAAGUCCCGGUCUGGUAUUUGAUUUGCCCCCACUCGGCAGCUUCUGUGACGCUCCUAACAGUGUAUUUCAGUGAGCUGCAGCUUUGAAUUUUGAUAAAGUCCAGUUUAUCAAUUGUUUUCUGUGUUGUGCUUUGGUGUCAUAUCCAAGAAUUCUUUGUCUUAUCCAAGAUCAAAAGGGUUUUCUCCUGUGUUGGCUUCUGGUACUUGAUAGUUUUAAGUGUUACACUUGGCUCUAUGAUCUAUUUUGAGUUAAGUUUUGUAUAUGGUAAAACAUACAGACUGAGGUUGAUUUUUUUGCAUGCAAAUAUCUAAAAUUCCAGUACCAUGGACUGGACUAGGACCACCUGACUGACUCCAAAGCCACUGCUAGAAUAAAGGCCAGGUGCCCUCAAAGCAGCUCAUUUGAUAGAUUUUUUUAAAUGUUACUAAGGUAUACUUGACAUAUAGUAAGCUGCACGUAUUUAAUUUUUUAA